AAUGAACGCUGGCGGCAUGCCUAACACAUGCAAGUCGAACGAAAGCUUCGGACUUAGUGGCGCACGGGUGCGGAAAGCGUGGGAAUCUGCCCCUUGGCUCGGAAUAACAGUUAUAAAUGACUGCUAAUACCGGAAGAUGACGUAAGUCCAAAGAUUUAUCGCCGAGGGAUGAGCCCGCGUAGGAUUAGCUAGUUGGUGUGGUAAGAGCGCACCAAGGCGACGAUCCUUAGCUGGUCUGAGAGGAUGAUCAGCCACACUGGGACUGAGACACGGCCCAGACUCCUACGGGAGGCAGCAGUGGGGAAUAUUGGACAAUGGGCGAAAGCCUGAUCCAGCAAUGGCGCGUGAGUGAUGAAGGCCUUAGGGUUGUAAAGCACUUUUACCCGGGAUGAUAAUGACAGUACCGAGAGAAUAAGCUCCGGCUAACUCCGUG
rnacentral:rRNA from 1 species